CAUUUUUUUUUUGUAUAGGGCAGUAAACAAGAGCUCUGAAAGGGGAAGGAAGCCAGGAGAAAGCCAGCUCCAUUCGUCACGCAGCUGCACAUCCUGUCACAAAGGACCCCAGUUGAGUAAUCGCCCAAAAUAUGCCUGUUAUUUUUUUUUUCUGUCAGAAGAAAAUGGGGCCUGCCAAAAUGUACUGUAAAAAAGAAAAAAAAAAAUCUGAUCUCUCGGGCCCAGAGGGGGAAAAGGAAAAUAAAGAAGAAACAGGCAUAAUUUCUCGGCGUUCUUCGAACCCUCUCCUCAGCUUAUUUUGAAAAGAAAAAGCCUUCAGACUCCUCACCGCAAUGGAGCUCGCCAGGCUUGGAGAAAGCGGGCUCCCUGCGACGUUCCCGGUCUGAGUCCUCACGGUCGUGUGGUGCCGAGAGCUUAGAAAGAGGCAGAGAGAGACAAGAGGCUGGGAGAAGGACAGCUCAAGGGAAGAGAAAGAGUUCACAGAAAGGGCCCCAGGAUAUCGAACGAGUCUUCUGAUGCACUGGAGUGUUCCAUCGGGAACCCGCAGCCCACCCCAAUCCCACCAGCCUUGCGCAAGCACAGCAGGGGCCACUGACUUCCAGCCAGUGGCCGUGCCUGCUCCGUAAGCCUUCCUGAUGCCCUCACCAAAACCAGCCCUGUCUCAGGCCUCCACAGCGCCCUGUGCUGCUUGGGCCACAGACUGAACAACGAGAACUUGUGUGGAAGGACUUCUGGCUCUGGGGAAGUCUGACAUGAGCUGGGGAGGAACUGGCUGGUCAGAGAAUCAUCCCACCUCAGGGGUUUUCCUGGAUUGACUUUCUAAAACUCCUGGAUGAGGACAGACUCCUGGUGGGGAAACUGAGGCACAGCAAAGGUGUUAUAAAGCCUUCAGUUUUAUAACUGCCUCUGUCCUGUGCUCUUAAGCCCAUGGCUUUCAGGACCAGGACACAAGGGAUGGUCAAUCAAGCACAGAAUGCUCUUGGAAAGUCACAGUUUCCCUCCUGCUAACAUUCUGACCCCCUCAGAGCUGUCCACGGGGAAAGGGUCUUUCUGUAUCCAAGUGACCAAAAAAUAGCAGAAAGCCUUCUCCUUAAGAAAGAGAACAGAGCCCUACAGAGGAAGAACAAGGCGGACACACUGUCCCUUUUGCUUCCGAGCUCUCUGGAUCCCUUCUAGAGGAAAGAGCCCCACUCCUGCCUCCACUCCACAGGGGCAGGCUGGAGGAGGCCCUCUCCGGGCACACCUCAGGAGACUUGGGCCCUAACAGUGGCUGCUUGGCCAUUCUGGGCCAAGGGUUCUCUCUCUCUAACCCAAGGACCAAGUCAAUCCCCUUGACAAUUGCUGCAGGAAGGCCCAAUUUUGCCAAAGUCAGGGCACUACCCAACCCUUAAAUGGCUUUGAGCCUGCCCAUCCUAUCUGAGGCAAUUCCCAAAGCCAGCCCUGAGCUUAGAGAUCCAUGCCUUACCUGGCCGCUGCUUCCCUGGGGACAGCUGACUGACACCUUAAAAAGAGACUGGGCAUGGCUUGCUGCGGAGAGCCGGCCUGCAAGCUGGAAGGACAGAUUCUCCCCCGGCCUCCUUGUUGAAUUGCUGUAGAAUUUCAGUCAACUCAAGUGACCUCUCUGUGACUAUUUUUUCCUCCCUUCGAGAUUUAUCAACUAUUAAUCGGAGCCUCUAUACGCCUGCAAUGUGGCGGUGCUGGGGACUCAGUGGUAAACAACACAGAUACAGUCCCUUUCUCCCUGCACAGCCUGGACAGCCUUUUCCAUGCCUUCUGCUUCCCUUCCUUCCUUCUUCCUUGAGUCUCCUGAUGCCAGCUCCUUGGAUGGGUGAGCCAGGGGUGGGAAGGCAGGGGCAAAAAACACAACAAAAAAUAAACCCACACACCCUGCAAAAACCCUAUGCUAAUACUAGUACUCCCAAAAUGCUUACAGAUAGAGGACAGUUUCUUAGCAACCUGAUCAUAAUGAAAAUUCCAUAAGGGCAUCUGGAAUUCACUCUGUCAGACAUUCCAGCUUAUCAGGAAAUGAGAAGGACCAAGACCAUCUUAUAACGUGCAAACUAUGUCAAUGUCACUGCCUAUCACCUUGCUUAUAUCAAACCUCAAUUAUAGGAGUGACUGUUGGGACUGUCCUCGUCUCAGCCUUCAUUGCAUGAAGUCACUGAGGGCUGUUGUCUUCCUCAGAGCUCAGCCCGUUCUUGGGGCCAGGUCCCAAGUUGAAAUUUGAACUGUCAACACAGGCCCACUGACUAAUGCUCCAGGGUGACAGGCCUGGCACAUGAACACGAGUGAUGCUGUCAUCCCCCGAGUCACAGGAUGAGACACCCUUGAUGCCCACUGCUGUCAAGAAAAUGUGUGAGCUCCCUCCCCACAUCUGUCACCCCAGAUGGGGGUCAAGGCCAUCUGAGCAGCGAGACGUAGAGCAGCUGCUUCCAGGAGCCUGCGCUAGGGGACAAGCAACAGCCAGCACUGGGGACAGGCUGCCCCUGCCUCAGUCUCCCACCACAGGCUCCCCUGCUCCUGCGUAGCGGCGUCCUGUUUACCGCCUGCCUCCUGCAGCUUGCAAGCCCCGCGGCACCCCGAGAGCUCCGUGGAUGGAGGACGGACACACGCACAGGCCAGGCCCAGCCUGCUAAAGCUUGACAGCAAAGGGACAGAAGACAGCCUCGAGAAGAAGGUGUCAAAGGAGGAAACCAGCAGGCUUCACAGGGGAGGUGACUUUGGAGCGAGUUUUGUCAGAUGACCAGGAGUUCUGCAGACACAGCAGCAGGUGGGGGAAGAGCGUUCCCGGGAAGGGGCGCACAGUCCGCGCACGGGCAGAAGGUGCCCAAAGAACAGGCAAAGGCCCGCAGGUCAGUGCAGCUGGUACAGGAACCGGGGCAGCAUGGUCCCACCCCUGGGCGAUGGGAGUGAGGGUGGGCUGGGGCUGACUCCCAUGGGAAAGGGCUGGCAGUGUGAAGAUGAGCGGCCAGGUCACCCAGUGCCCACAUUCUCCUCUCCAGUGACGUUCAGGUCACCCCGGCACAAGGUCAGCAUGUGCUGGUGUGAGCGAGUUAGCUAUUGUUCCUGCAAGAGACCUAAGCUCAGGCACACCUUGGCCUUGGUCAGUUCCGUGGGGAAAACAUUGAGACUCCCCUGCCCUGCACGGUGACAGAAAGAGGUAGCAGUCACCUGGCCCGAGACCUGCAGUCGGGAGGGCUGCAGCCAGGUGUUUGAAAUCGGGUCUGAACGUCCUGGCUCUCCCCAAGUACAGAGCACCCGCUGGGGUUAACGUUCUCCUCCUCACAAUGCUCUGGGCCACCUGGGCCGCACAUUUCCUCCAGGCCAUUCUGGAAAGUCACCGCAGCUGCAAGCCCAGCCCUCCCUCACCCCAGGGCAGGGAGAUCAGGUGGAGCCAGAGAACCCAGGGCUCACCCUGGCUGGAGGAGACUCCGCCCCCGCCCUGCCCCCCGUGGGUCUGCCCGGUCCCACCCAGUCCCAGGAAAGGGCUGGGACAGUUUCCAUCUCCAACCUGUCUGGGCCUCUCCUUUCUUGCCCAGGUAGCUCUGCUGGGAAAACCUACAACAGCUGAGCGAGCUUUUCAGGAUUGGCUUGAUGCCAGGGCAAGGGAUGAGUCGGCCACACGCAGUCAUCUCAUGUGCUGUCGAAGUACUUUUCUUUAGCGGAUCUCAAAACCUUUUACCCACCAGAAAUGAGGGUUGUCCCAGCUGUGUGGGAGGACUCAGAGAAGAAGGGUCACUCGCUAAGCUGGUAAGAGCUUUGCAGUAAAAUGAAUGCUUCAAAAGACUGGCUCUAAGGGAAGCAAAACAACAGAAUCCGAGGCUAAAAUUACAUCCCUAAUAAAUAUUACUUGAAGUGAAAAGAGAAGUUCACUUUGUAUGGAAAUCUGUGCAAACCGAAUAAGCACAGGGUGGU